AGACCAAGAUGUGAGGUGUCUGCUGUUAAUUCCAGCUUCCACCUCAGUGACAGUGCAAGCUCAGUGAACUGUUCAAGGUAAAAAAAAAUGUAAACAUUUCAGAAUUUUUAAGAUAUUAACAAUUACAUAAACGUAUGUGAUUACAUCAUGAAGGAGGCUACUGAUUCUGGCCCUGUGACACUUGGUGGUGACGUGUGAGCUGAUUCACCUGGACACUCAGCAAAAUAUGGACUCUACACCAUGAGGCAGGCACAUGUUAAUACUCUAUAAGAGCACAUAAGCAUGAGGAUGUCCUCACACACCUGUAACCUAUCAGCUCAUCUGACAGAAUAGAGAGAGAAGAGACAACACCACAUCUCCUGUUCCUGGAAAGCCUUCAGCCAUCCUUCGAUGACUGAGAACCUCCAUCAGCUCUGUCUCCUGUCUGCCUACAAUUAUUAUAAUAAAUAUUGUGUUUGACAA